CCGCCGCUGCGGGGGGUGUUCGGCAGCGCGUCUUCGCAGGUCGUGUCGGAAUGGUCGGCUUCCGGCCGCCGCGGGUGCGGAUCUCGACCGUCGGA
rnacentral:tRNA from 1 species